rnacentral:rRNA from 1 species
AACGCGAAGAACCUUACCUGGCCUUGACAUGUCCGGAAUUCUGCAGAGAUGCGGAAGUGCCUUCGGGAAUCGGAACACAGGUGCUGCAUGGCUGUCGUCAGCUCGUGUCGUGAGAUGUUGGGUUAAGUCCCGUAACGAGCGCAACCCUUGUCCUUAGUUACCAGCACGUUAUGGUGGGCACUCUAAGGAGACUGCCGGUGACAAACCGGAGGAAGGUGGGGAUGACUUCAAGUCAUCAUGGCCCUUACGGCAGGGCUACACACGUGCUACAAUGGUCGGUACAGAGGGUUGCCAAGCCGCGAGGUGGAGCUAAUCCCAGAAAACCGAUCGUAGUCCGGAUCGCAGUCUGCAACUCGACUGCGUGAAGUCGGAAUCGCUAGUAAUCGUGAAUCAGAAUGUCACGGUGAAUACGUUCCCGGGCCUUGUACACACCGCCCGU